GGCGGACGGGUGAGUAACACGUAAGGAACCUGCCUCAAGGAUUGGGAUAACUCCGAGAAAUCGGAGCUAAUACCGGAUAGUUCAACGGACCGCAUGGUCCGCUGAUGAAAGGCGCUCCGGCGUCACCUUGAGAUGGCCUUGCGGUGCAUUAGCUAGUUGGUGGGGUAACGGCCCACCAAGGCGACGAUGCAUAGCCGACCUGAGAGGGUGAUCGGCCACU
rnacentral:rRNA from 1 species